rnacentral:rRNA from 1 species
GAUGUGCCGAGAGGUGAAAGGCUUGCUGCCUGAAAAUGAGCUCGCGUCUGAUUAGCUAGUUGGUGUGGUAAGAGCGCACCAAGGCGACAAUCAGUAGCUGGUCUGAGAGGAUGACCAGCCACACUGGGACUGAGACACGGCCCAGACUCCUACGGGAGGCAGCAGUGGGGAAUUUUCCGCAAUGGGCGAAAGCCUGACGGAGCAAUACCGCGUGAGGGAGGAAGGCUCUUGGGUCGUAAACCUCUUUUCUCAAGGAAUAAGAAAGUGAAGGUACUUGAGGAAUAAGCAUCGGCUAACUCCGUGCCAGCAGCCGCGGUAAUACGGAGGAUGCAAGCGUUAUCCGGAAUGAUUGGGCGUAAAGGGUCCGCAGGUGGCAUUGUGUGUCUGCUGUUAAAGAGUUUGGCUUAACCAGAUAAAAGCAGUGGAAACUACAAAGCUAGAGUGCGUUCGGGGCAGAAGGAAUUCCUGGUGUAGCGGUGAAAUGCGUAGAGAUCAGGAAGAACACCGGUGGCGAAAGCGUUCUGCUAGGCCUGCACUGACACUGAGGGACGAAAGCUAGGGGAGCGAAGGGGAUUAAUCC